GGUUCUGUUCAAUGAUGUUAAAAGCCAGUAGCUGGCACAUGUGCUUCACUAGUGGAUUUGAAGGUUUUUUACUUUCUGGUAAAAGAUCUGAAGGUUUCUUCUUUUUUACCCUUCUUAUGGGAGAGCCUUUAUAUGCUCUAAUUUAUAAUCCCUCUUCUAAUGGUGAAGCCUGUAGUAAAAUUCGCAGAAAACUUCCUUGAGAUUGUUGUGCUGGACUUGGAGGCAUGCGUAUGCUUUUAAGUUGAGGAAACCAUAAAUAUCCCACAGGUUAUGCUCUGAAGUUGAGAUCAUCUACGUUAUUGCGAUUUAUGUUGAUUAAUAAACUAGCGUGAGAGUAGUACCUCUCAAAUAUCUGAGUUGCUUAUUCUUCUGAUUUCUUGAAUUUGUAGAGUCGUACUGCUAACGUACCCCUGAUGCUUCAUGUUGGUCUUAUACUGAUCGCUCUGAAUUACACAGCUAAGAUUUCACUUCAGGAUGCAGACGAUUGCGCUGGAGUAUCCCACAAAUCUUGAGAUUGAUGAUUAAGGUGUUGGAGUUCAUCUCUACAUGAAUCCUGGAUGUUAGUUGGUUGAUUAAUAGCUUCAACAGCAUAGACCACGAGGCAAAACGCAGCAUUUUGAGCUCAGAGUUUGCGAACAUUUUUGGUUCAUCACCAAAUGUGAAAACUGACUGUAGACAGGUGUUCAUCCAAAGGCCAGCAAAGCAUAUUUACCAAAAGAAAAAAAAGGUCAGUGAAGUGUAUAUUUUCUUAGUUGUCCUGUGGGCAUGCUUUGCAGUGGGCAGAAAUCAAGUUACAUCCUGAUUCUUAUGAUUCAGGCUGAAACUCCAGCUCGCAUGUUCUUUCAUGAAUGAAUCACAUUUCACAUCUGGUGGAAAAUCAUGCUUAAUUAAAAGUUAGAUCCGAUCCUGUCAUGCUGGGUUUUGAACUGUAGAGAUCCAGAAAUCAUGGUCAUUGGUGUAUCAUGAGACAGCUCCUAAUUGCAAGGACAUGCACAGUAUAAUGAUAGCACGUUGCAUGAUCAUGCAGGAAUCAUGCAAUCAUGGGUCAUUAUGUGAUAUACAAACAGUCAUGAAUCAUGAUUGCAGAACUGAAGUAUCUCCAGUUCAGUCACAUGCUGUAGAGGAUCUGGACAUGGAGGGUGCCAAUCACACCAUGUUAUUUCAUCCCAACAGCCGCAGAGCAGCUGACAUUUUUAAACAACCAUUCAUGAUGAAGCCAGCUUGCCGGAUCUUUAAUUUGACACAAGUCAUUAUCCAACCUAGUAACUCGCAUCAUUUCUUUUGAAAUGAUCGGUCC
rnacentral:lncRNA from 1 species